GACGAACGCUGGCGGCGUGCUUAACACGUGCAAGUCGAGCGGAAAGGCCCUUUCGGGGGUACUCGAGCGGCGAACGGGUGAGUAACACGUGAGUAAUCUGCCCUUCACUUUGGGAUAACCCCCGGAAACGGGAGCUAAUACCGGAUAUGACCGGCAACCGCAUGGUUUGUUGGUGGAAACUUUUGUGGGUGGGGGAGGUGCUCGCGGCCUAUCAGCUUGUUGGUGGGGUAAUGGCCUACCAAGGCUUUGACGGGUAGCCGGCCUGAGAGGGUGACCGGCCCCACUGGGACGGAGAAACGGCCCAGCCUCCUACGGGAGGCAGAAGUGGGGAACAUUGGACAAUGGGCGGAAGCCUGAUCCAGCAACGCCGCGUGGGGGAUGACGGCCUUCGGGUUGUAAACCUCUUUCAGCACCGACGAAGCGUGAGUGACGGUAGGUGCAGAAGAAGGACCGGCCAACUACGUGCCAGCAGCCGCCGUAAUAC
rnacentral:rRNA from 1 species